CUACCAGGGUUUCUAAUCCUGUUUGCUCCCCACGCUUUCGCACCUCAGCGUCAAUACCAGUCCAGUCAGCCGCCUUCGCCACUGGUGUUCUUCCGAAUAUCUACGAAUUUCACCUCUACACUCGGAAUUCCACUGACCUCUCCUGGAUUCAAGCGAUGCAGUCUCAAAGGCAGUUCUGGAGUUGAGCUCCAGGCUUUCACCUCUGACUUACAAAGCCGCCUACGUGCGCUUUACGCCCAGUAAUUCCGAACAACGCUAGCCCCCUCCGUAUUACCGCGGCGGCUGGCAC
rnacentral:rRNA from 1 species